AUGUGUGUGUGUGUGCAUGUGUAGGUGUUCUGGAUGGUUCCUAUGGGUGAUAAGGUCCAGUAUUUCGAUGUGCACUUCCAGGACGCAAAUGGGGGUGGUGUCAAUGGAGGAGGCGUGGUUAUGGGCGGCCUCAAGGGCAGCAGUAUGUGUGCGUCAGGCCUGAGGAGGGAUGCGGAGUACAUCUUCAGAGCGCGCUCAGUCAACUCUGACGGUCACGGAGCAUGGGGUCCUGCCUACCGUGUGUCAACCUAGAUGGAGAAGCAAUCAUGCCCCACCGAUGACCCGUAACCAUGGAGACGAAUGCUUUAUCUUGUUUUCUAAAAAGAUCUAUAUAUAUAAAACAUGUAUACAUAUAUACAAAUAACCAUUAACCGUUAAACAACACAUAAUUUAUUUCAUUUAAAACACAUUGAAACACUUUUUAGACUUGUGAAUAAACCCCCUCUAUGCAUGAAGUGUGUCUGGUGGCGCUUCUUUAUCAGCAGAUACCUCUAGCCACCACGGGGUGGCAGUGUUUCACUGCAGACUCCUGCUCACCUCUGAUUGGUCAGGACACAGGCUAGUGACACGCAGGGAUUGGUCAGAAAGUAGAGUAGGUUUGGGUGGAAUACAUCAGAUAGGAAAGAGUAAGGAAUAGAGAGAGAGAGAGAGAGAAUAAGAA